CUACGUCAUAAACACGGCACGCUUGGAAGACCACGAUGUCAUCUUCCUUCUGUCAGGAGGAUCCCAGUGAAGCUACAGGAGUUUCAUUAACGUCAACAACUUGGACCGAACACUUUGUUUUGCUUGAUGAAGAGCAGGAAGGGCAGCCUGGAGAGAAAGAGAAGCCGGGUUGAGCCCACUACCAUCAUCCACGUACCACGAGGAAGAUGAGGGAGAGAAAUGAUCCUACCAUUAAAGAGGUACUUUUAAGUUACAUACCAGAAACACCAUUUUAUAUAAUGUGCUAAAUAUACAUUUUAUUACAUCCCCAAAGUACGCUUGCUGAAAUACAAGUUUAUAUCACACUGAAAGAAUUUUGAUCAAUCAUGCUUCCCUGCUGUGAUUGUUUAACUGGGAAAACAACUUUUUCCACAGGAAGGCAAGUAAAUUUAAGGAAUACAUGUGCAAAGUUUUCCUCUGUUAUGUAUAAUGAUGACCCCCAUCAAACAUAAUGUUAGCAAUAUUUACACCUUUUAAUUUAUACUGAUUAUUUCUGUCUACAUGUGUGAAUUUGCCUUCAUUAGUUUCAGAAAAGAGCGAUGAUGUAUCGGUCAGUGGGCGGCAGCACGAGACUCCGCAAACUAGUCUGUAAGCAAAGCAGACGAAGGCAUCGAGGUUGCGGCCUGCCAUCAUUGUUAUUUUUGCUUAAGGGACUGAAUAUGUUUCAUGCAGGAAUAUUAGCAUUUCCCUUAUAUCUACCAAAACUGCUUGUUUCCCAGACUGCAGUUUUGUUUUGAUCCGAUGUGGUGUGCAAAUACAACCGUAUCUGCAAUGGGUUGUGGGGCAUUAACAUUUGUAACUCUAAUUUUGUUUUGACAGACUGUGAAAAGAACGUUGAGAACAUCACCACUCUACAGGAAGACACAGUCCAGUAAUGGGUGUCAGAAUUUCAGUAGUGAACGACAG